AUGACUUUGAUCUCCGUCCUCUUCUGGACUCUCCUCUGCUGCUGCUUCACAGAGUCCAGCGGUCAGUACACAGUGACUCAGCCUGGAGCAGUGAGCUCUGCUCUGGGAGGCUCCGUCUCCAUCAGCUGUAGGACCAGUCAGAAGGUUUAUGGUGGGAACCAUUUAUCCUGGUACCAACAGAGAGAUGGAGAAACUCCUAAACUGCUCAUUUACGGUGCUAGCACUCGACAAUCAGGGAUUCCAGGUCGUUUUACAGGCAGUGGAUCAAACUCUGACUUCACUCUGACCAUCAGUGGAGUCCAGACUGAAGAUGCAGCAGUUUACUACUGUCAGAGUCUUCACAUUCCCAGCCAGUGGGUGUUCACACAGUGAAAAAGCGUCGUACAAAAACCUCCCUCAGUCAGACUGAACAGAAACUGAACUGACUGCUGCAGCUGGAAGCUACUGCAGAG